rnacentral:rRNA from 1 species
CCAGACUCCUACGGGAGGCAGCAGUGAGGAAUAUUGGUCAAUGGGCGGGAGCCUGAACCAGCCAUGCCGCGUGAAGGCGAGUGCCCUACGGGCGUUAAACUUCUUUUGUGCGGGAGCAAUAAGGGCCACGUGUGGCCCGAUGAGAGUACCGCACGAAUAAGCAUCGGCUAACUCCGUGCCAGCAGCCGCGGUAAUACGGAGGAUGCGAGCGUUAUCCGGAUUUAUUGGGUUUAAAGGGUGCGUAGGCGGACAGUCAAGUCAGCGGUAAAAAUGCGGUGCUCAACGCCGUACAGCCGUUGAAACUGGCAGUCUUGAGUGGGCGAGAAGUAUGCGGAAUUCCUAGUGUAGCGGUGAAAUGCGUAGAUAUUAGGAGGAACACCAGUGGCGAAGGCGGCCUGCUGGGCUUUAACUGACGCUGAGGCUCGAAAGCGUGGGGAGCAAACAGGAUUAGAUACCCGCGUA